rnacentral:rRNA from 1 species
GGCGAGUGAAGCGGCAACAGCUCAAUUUGAAAUCUGGCCUCGGCCCGAGUUGUAAUUUGCAGAGGAUGUUUCUGGCGCGGUGCCUUCUGAGUUCCCUGGAACGGGACGCCAUAGAGGGUGAGAGCCCCGUACGGUUGGACGCCUAGCCUGUGUGAAACUCCUUCGACGAGUCGAGUAGUUUGGGAAUGCUGCUCAAAAUGGGAGGUAUAUCUCUUCUAAAGCUAAAUACCGGCCAGAGACCGAUAGCGCACAAGUAGAGUGAUCGAAAGAUGAAAAGCACCUUGAAAAGGGGGUUAAACAGCACGUGAAAUUGUUGAAAGGGAAGCGCCCAUGACCAGACUUGUGCCCGGCGGAUCACCCAGCGUUCUCGCUGGGGCACUCCGCCGGGUCCAGGCCAGCAUCGGUUUUCGCCGGGGGAUAAAGGCUCUGGGAACGUAGCUCCUCCGGGAGUGUUAUAGCCCUCUGCGUAAUACCCUGGCGGGGACCGAGGUACGCGCUCCGCAAGGAUGCUGGCGUAAUGGUCAUCAGCGACCCGUCUUGAAACACGGAUCAAGGAGUCGUCCAUUAAAGCGAGCGUUUGGGUGUCAAACCCGCACGCGUAAUGAAAGUGAACGUAGGUGAGAGCUUCGGCGCAUCAUCGACCGAUCCUGAUGUCCUCGGAUGGAUUUGAGUAUGAGUUUUACUGGACGGACCCGAAAGAUGGUGAACUAUGCCUGUAUAGGGUGAAGCCAGAGGAAACUCUGGUGGAGGCUCGCAGCGGUUCUGACGUGCAAAUCGAUCGUCAAAUAUGGGCAUGGGGGCGAAAGACUAAUCGAACCAUCUAGUAGCUGGUUAC